rnacentral:rRNA from 1 species
AUUGAACGCUGGCGGAAUGCUUUACACAUGCAAGUCGAACGGCAGCACGGACUUCGGUCUGGUGGCGAGUGGCGAACGGGUGAGUAAUACAUCGGAACGUGCCCAAUCGUGGGGGAUAACGUAGCGAAAGCUACGCUAAUACCGCAUACGAUCUAAGGAUGAAAGCGGGGGAUCGCAAGACCUCGCGCGAAUGGAGCGGCCGAUGGCAGAUUAGGUAGUUGGUAGGGUAAAGGCCUACCAAGCCGACGAUCUGUAGCUGGUCUGAGAGGAUGAUCAGCCACACUGGGACUGAGACACGGCCCAGACUCCUACGGGAGGCAGCAGUGGGGAAUUUUGGACAAUGGACGCAAGUCUGAUCCAGCCAUUCCGCGUGCAGGAUGAAGGCCCUCGGGUUGUAAACUGCUUUUGUACAGAACGAAAAGGCUCUGGUUAAUACCUGGGGCUCAUGACGGUACUGUAAGAAUAAGCACCGGCUAACUACGUGCCAGCAGCCGCCGUAA